rnacentral:rRNA from 1 species
GACCUGCCCUAUGAGUUAUUUUAAAUGGCCGCGGUAUUUUAACCGUGCAAAGGUAGCAUAAUAAUUAGUUUUUUAAUUGAGAACUGGUAUGAAUGGUUGGACGAGAAAAAUUCUGUCUCAAUUUAAUUUAAAUUAGAAUUUUAUUUUUAAGUAAAAAAGCUUAAAUAAAUUUAGAAGACGAGAAGACCCUAUAGAGUUUUAUAUUAAUUGUAUUAUUUAAAAUAUUAAGUAUUUUUAUUUAAUUAAAAUAUAUUAAUAUUUAAUUGGGGUGAUUAAAAAAUUAAAUAAACUUUUUUUAGCUAUAAAAUAACAUUGAUAUAUGAAUUAAUGAUCCAUUUUUAUAUGAUUAUAAGAUUAAAUUACCUUAGGGAUAACAGCGUUAUUUUUUUUGAGAGUUCUAAUCGAAAAAAAAGUUUGCGACCUCGAUGUUGGAUUAAAAUUAACUUAUGGUGUAGAAGCUAUUAAGGUUAGG